CCUACGGGGGGCUGCAGUAAGGAAUAUUGGACAAUGGGCGGAAGCCUGAUCCAGCCAUCCCGCGUGCAGGAUGAAGGCCCUCUGGGUUGUAAACUGCUUUAGACUGGGAAGAAACCCCUCGAUGCGUCGGGGGUUGACGGUACCAGUAGAAUAAGCACCGGCUAACUCCGUGCCAGCAGCCGCGGUAAUACGGAGGGUGCAAGCGUUAUCCGGAAUCACUGGGUUUAAAGGGUGCGUAGGCGGCUGAGUCAGUCAGGGGUGAAAGCCCGCAGCUU
rnacentral:rRNA from 1 species